rnacentral:rRNA from 1 species
GAUGAAUGCUGGCGGCGUGCCUAACACAUGCAAGUCGAGCGGCAGCGCGAGUAGUUUACUACUUGGCGGCGAGCGGCGGACGGCUGAGUAACGCGUGGGAACAUGCCCCAAAGUGAGGGAUAACUGCUCGAAAGGGUAGCUAAUACCGCAUAUGGUCUUCGGAUUAAAGGAUUUAUCCGCUUUGGGAGUGGCCUGCGUACGAUUAGAUAGUUGGUGAGGUAAUGGCUCACCAAGUCGACGAUCGUUAGCUGGUCUUAGAGGAUGAUCAGUCAGACUGGAACUGAGACACGGCCCAGACUCCUACGGGAGGCAGCAGUGGGGAAUUUUGGACAAUGGGCGCAAGCCUGAUCCAGCAAUGCCGCGUGCAGGAAGAAGGCCUUCGGGUUGUAAACUGCUUUUGUACGGAACGAAACGGUCCUGGUUAAUACCUGGGGCUAAUGACGGUACCGUAAGAAUAAGCACUGGC